rnacentral:rRNA from 1 species
UACACUCCUGCGGGAGGCAGCAGUGGGGAAUUUUGGCCAAUGGGCGAAAGCCUGAUCCAGCAAUGCCGCGUGUGUGAAGAAGGCCUUCGGGUUGUAAAGCACUUUUGUCCGGAAAGAAAUCCUUGGCUCUAAUACAGUCGGGGGAUGACGGUACCGGAAGAAUAAGCACCGGCUAACUACGUGCCAGCAGCCGCGGUAAUACGUAGGGUGCGAGCGUUAAUCGGAAUUACUGGGCGUAAAGCGUGCGCAGGCGGUUUGCUAAGACCGAUGUGAAAUCCCCGGGCUCAACCUGGGAACUGCAUUGGUGACUGGCAGGCUAGAGUAUGGCAGAGGGGGGUAGAAUUCCACGUGUAGCAGUGAAAUGCGUAGAGAUGUGGAGGAAUACCGAUGGCGAAGGCAGCCCCCUGGGCCAAUACUGACGCUCAUGCACGAAAGCGUGGGGAGCAAACAGGAUUAGAAACCCCGGUAGUCCC